AAUGAACGCUGGCGGAAUGCUUAACACAUGCAAGUCGUGCGGUAACACUUCGGGUGACGAGCGGCGGACGGGUGCGUAACGCGUGAGAAUCUACCUUUUAGUGGGGGACAACUCGGGGAAACUCGAGCUAAUACCGCAUAUAUCCUACGGGACAAAGCAGGGGACCUUCGGGCCUUGCGCUAAAAGAUGAGCUCGCGUGAGAUUAGCUUGUUGGUGAGGUAAAGGCUCACCAAGGCAACGAUCUCUAGCUGGUCUGAGAGGAUGAUCAGCCACACUGGGACUGAGACACGGCCCAGACUCCUACGGGAGGCAGCAGUGGGGAAUAUUGGACAAUGGGGGCAACCCUGAUCCAGCAAUUCCGCGUGUGUGAAGAAGGCCUGCGGGUUGUAAAGCACUUUCAG
rnacentral:rRNA from 1 species